rnacentral:rRNA from 1 species
UUUAUCGCCGUUGGAGUGGGCCCGCGUAAGAUUAGCUAGUUGGUGGGGUAAAGGCCUACCAAGGCGACGAUCUUUAGCUGGUCUGAGAGGAUGAUCAGCCACACUGGGACUGAGACACGGCCCAGACUCCUACGGGAGGCAGCAGUGGGGAAUAUUGGACAAUGGGCGAAAGCCUGAUCCAGCAAUGCCGCGUGAGUGAUGAAGGCCUUAGGGUUGUAAAGCUCUUUUACCCGAGAUGAUAAUGACAGUAUCGGGAGAAUAAGCUCCGGCUAACUCCGUGCCAGCAGCCGCGGUAAUACGGAGGGAGCUAGCGUUGUUCGGAAUUACUGGGCGUAAAGCGCACGUAGGCGGCUUUUUAAGUCAGGGGUGAAAUCCCGGGGCUCAACCCCGGAACUGCCCUUGAAACUGGGAAGCUAGAAUCUUGGAGAGGCGAGUGGAAUUCCGAGUGUAGAGGUGAAAUUCGUAGAUAUUCGGAAGAACACCAGUGGCGAAGGCGACUCGCUGGACAAGUAUUGACGCUGAGGUGCGAAAGCGUGGGGAGCAACAGGAUUAGAUACCCUGGUAGUCCACGCCGUAACGAUGAUAACUAGCUGUCCGGCUCAUAGAGCUUGGGUGGCGCACCUACGCAUUAAGUUAUCCCCUGGGGAGUACGGUCCCAGAUUAAACUCNAAGGAAUUGACGGGGCCUGCCCA